GGAGGACUCAGGGGAGCGAGAGGGAGGGCUAGAGAGGACCCAAUGCCUAUAAACAGUGUAUAUGUGACCAGAUGUCCUAACUGGAAAGGAAGACAAGGCACUGCAAAAUGUAGGCCAUUCCAGGGAAAUGUUGGACAUUCCAAAAUCAAAGCUCAAAACACUCAUAUAAAUCUAAAAUUCAUGCUUCUUGGUCACGCUCAUAAUGGAGGACAGUUUGGGAUUCCUCCUGGACAGGAGGUUGAAAGGUAGGAUAUGUCCUGGAAAAGGAGGACGCCUAGUCAUCACUUAAUGGGCUUCAUAGUCAUGCUCUACAUGGAAGACGUUUUGGGAUUUCACAGUGACAGAAAGUUGAAAGGUAGGACAUAGCUGGGAAAAGUAAGAUGCCUUGUACUCAGUGGGCUUCUUAGUCAUGCUCUACGCAGAAGACAUUUUGGGAUUCCUCUUGGACAGAAGACAGAAAUGUCAGACACGUCUGGGAAAAGCAGGAUGCCUUCUACCCAAUAGGCUUCUUAGUUAUACUCUCCAUGAAAGACAUUUUGGGAUUCCUCCUGGACAGAAGGUUGAAAGGUAGGACAUGUCUGGGAAAAGCAGGACACCUUCUACUCAUUGGGGUUCUUAGUCAUGCUCUAUGUGGAGGACAUUUUGGGAUUCCUCUUGGACAGAAGGCGGAAAUGUCGGACAUGUCUGGGGAAAAGAGGACACCUGGUCACCCUGUACUCAUUGGGCUUUUUAGUAAUGCUCUGCAUGGAGGACAGUUUGCAAUUCCUCCUGGCCAGAAGGCUGAAAGGAAUGGAAAUUGGAGCAUGGUGUGCGAGAGCUCCAUAUCAAAGAGAGAGCAAAGGCGUCCCUUUUCUAACUAGGGAUUUCGCUUCCAGGACCAGACUUAGCAGGCCGAGCGUGAUCUAAAAAGCAGAGGGCCUCCGGGAAGACGCGGCGCACGGUUUGAUGCUUACUCUUGGGCCAUGAAAGGUGGACCGGUUGCGCUUUGAUGGAACACGCGGUGCUCAGGGUGGCACGCGGAGCAGGGAAAUUAAAGCCAGCCUGCGUGUUUUUGAAACAAGGAGCGAUAGAGUCGAACUCGGACCCAGUGUGCUUUCAGAAGGCCUACAGGCAAGAAUUAUUAAAGUCGGUGGCGUACUUUGUGAAGUCAGAAUGGUUGGAUUAAAUUGGAAUGCUGGGACCGGUUUGACACCAGUUUAACUGCCAUGGCUGAAUGCUAUUAUGUUUAUAUUCCACCCUUCUCCCAGGACUGGGACUCAUGGCGGCUUACUGGGAAUGGUAGUUUGCCACAACAAAUUCCACUUGUCACCAUUCCUAGGAUUCCAUAGCACUGAGCGAUGGUUGCUA